rnacentral:rRNA from 1 species
UUCAUUCUUUCAUAUACUAGGAGUUUUUACUUGGAAAAGACAAUGUUCCAUACUAAAGGAUUCGGGUCCAUAACCACGAGUUCCAGUGCACUUGAUCUUGUAGCACUUAGCAAUGAAGCCCUAUCCAUUAGUAUUCCACAUAAGAAACCCAUUCUAGAAAAAAAUACAAUUAGAUUAGCUCUUCAUAGACAAACUUGGGGUUUGCGAGCCAAGGUAAGAUCGUCUCGGUAUCAAGGGACCCUUUUCUAUCAGAUAGGAGGCGCCCUUGUACAAAAUAGACUUACUAAGAGGCUGUUUGGUUUGUAA